UACGGGGGGAGCAAGCGUUGUUCGGAUUUACUGGGCGUAAAGGGCGCGUAGGCGGCGCCGCAAGUCGACUGUGAAAUCUCCGGGCUUAACCCGGAAAGGUCAGCCGAUACCGCGGGGCUAGAGUGCAGAAGGGGCAACUGGAAUUCUCGGUGUAGCGGUGAAAUGCGUAGAUAUCGAGAGGAACACCUGCGGCGAGGGCGGGUUGCUGGGCUGACACUGACGCUGAUGCGCGAAAGCUAGGGGAGCGAACGGG
rnacentral:rRNA from 1 species